GAGUUUGAUCAUGGCUCAGAUUGAACGCUGGCGGCAUGCCUUACACAUGCAAGUCGAACGGCAGCACGGGAGCUUGCUCCUGGUGGCGAGUGGCGAACGGGUGAGUAAUGCAUCGGAACGUAUCCUGGAAGUGGGGGAUAACGUAGCGAAAGUUACGCUAAUACCGCAUAUUCUGUGAGCAGGAAAGCGGGGGACCUUCGGGCCUCGCGCUCUUGGAGCGGCCGAUGUCGGAUUAGCUAGUUGGUGAGGUAAAGGCUCACCAAGGCGACGAUCCGUAGCAGGUCUGAGAGGAUGAUCUGCCACACUGGAACUGAGACACGGUCCAGACUCCUACGGGAGGCAGCAGUGGGGAAUUUUGGACAAUGGGGGCAACCCUGAUCCAGCCAUGCCGCGUGAGUGAAGAAGGCC
rnacentral:rRNA from 1 species